rnacentral:rRNA from 1 species
GACGAACGCUGGCGGCGUGCCUAAUACAUGCAAGUAGAACGCAGUUGCGAACGGGUGAGUAACGCGUAGGUAACUGCCUCAUAGCGGGGGAUAACUAUUGGAAACGAUAGCUAAUACCGAAUACUGUGAGAUGGACCUGCGUUGUAUUAGUUGGGUGGUGGGGUAAAGGCUCACCAAGGCGACGGUACAUAGCCGGCCUGAGGGGAUGUCCGGCAAAAUGGGAACUGUGAACUGGCCCGGACUCUACGGGAGGCAAGAGUAGGGGAACAUCGGAAAUGGGCGGAAAUCUUGACGAGCAACGGCGGGUGAGUUAAGAAAGUUUUCCGGUCGUAAAGCUCUUUUGUUUGGGAAGCGGUAACUAACCAGAAAGGAACGGCUAACUACGUGCCAGCAGCCGCGGUAAUAC